GUGAUGAUGAGAGGUAUUGCAGGCAUCAAGCCAUUCAUCCUCCCUAAAAUGAAGAGGAAUAAAGAAACACAAAGGAACAUUAUUUCUCUUCUGGGAACUCCCCUACUGCCAUCCCCUGAAAUGAUAUACUUACCAUGUGAGCUGGCACCUGACCCACGCUGGUCCCAGAGAAUACGACCCAGGAUUUGUUUGCUUGACUUUUAAAGAACAAGCCAAGGAGAGCUGGACAGGAACGCAGCACUCCUCCCAUGAGCUCAUGGCGUAAGUCACAGCACAGAGCAUCGGACCACGCGUUCGCCAGGCUGACGGGGCCGGGCCGCCCUGGCCCCUUGCAGGCCGCCCUGGCCGUGGGCAGGAAGGAGGCACUCGGACUAACGGGGUUUCCGGUCACUGGAGUUUACCCGCCUUGCAGACGAGGGGUAAGCCUACUAGGAAAUGACCGCAUCGGAGUUCCGAGUGGCCAUUACCCCGAGCUCUGGAAACGCGCCUUCUCAGCACGUUUCCCGGGAAAUCUCCACCAGCGGGCGGAAGCCGGACGCUCCCAGGGCGCCAGCGCCCACCGCCGGCCACUCUGGCAGGACACCCACUGCCCCUCCCGGACGGGGACGCAAGAUGGCCAAUCGCUGCUCAGUUCUCCGCGGGCCCAAGAACAACUUCGCGCCCACCCUGAGGAUGCGGGGCCCACCCCGCGGGGAUCGCGGUAAGCCAGGAGCUGUGGCCAGUGUCCAGGUGCCGGCCAGGACACUCACUUAUUUAAACAUGAAUGAGAAGAACUGAGGGACUGGGAGGCGCGCCGUGUUCUGCGGCAGCAGCGGAGGUGGCAAGAGAAAGGGAACUGAAGUGUGCAAACCGCAGAAACCCGAGCCGCCUUCCCCAACGGCCGCCCCCGCAGCGCCUGACGCCCCAGAGCGUCCGAGAACCGACCGCCCCGGGCGGCUGCGGCGCGGCCCCUCCCGCCGGCUUCCCGGCCGCGGCGGCCUCCUCUCUUCCCUCCCUCCCCUCCCUCCCCUCCCGUCUCCACCCGGCUGCGGCCGACUGUACC